GAUGAACGCUAGCGGGAGGCCUAACACAUGCAAGCCGAGCGGGAUUUGUUGGUUAGCUUGCUAACUAACAAUGAGAGCGGCGUACGGGUGCGUAGCACGUGUGCAACCUGCCUUUAUCUGGGGGAUAGCCUUUCGAAAGGAAGAUUAAUACCCCAUAACAUAUUGAUUGGCAUCAGUUAAUAUUGAAAGCUCCGGCGGAUAGAGAUGGGCACGCGUAAGAUUAGCUAGUUGGUGAGGUAACGGCUCACCAAGGCUGCGAUCUUUAGGGGGCCUGAGAGGGUGAUCCCCCACACUGGUACUGAGACACGGACCAGACUCCUACGGGAGGCAGCAGUGAGGAAUAUUGGACAAUGGGUGAGAGCCUGAUCCAGCCAUCCCGCGUGAAGGACUAAGGACCUAUGGUUUGUAAACUUCUUUUAUACAGGGAUAAACCUACUCUCGUGAGGGUAGCUGAAGGUACUGUAUGAAUAAGCACCGGCUAACUCCGUG
rnacentral:rRNA from 1 species